ensembl:lincRNA Gm12290 predicted gene 12290
AAAACACAUGGAGAAUUCCAGGGCCUGAGCAUUUUGUCUCGAUUCUCACUCUAGGCCAUCUUGAGUCUGACUGCAAUCUCAAGGUGUACGGUUUCGGAUUAAAUGUGGGACGAGAGGCCACACAGACAGAAAUUAGUUUCGUGACUUCCGUUUGAGCUCUGCUCUCUCCCGUCACAGCUCUUAGGUUUUGGUGUCCUUAAGAGAACUCAAGAUUCCUCAGUCAACACAUUUUUCUCUCAGGACAACCAGAUAAACUCCAGAAUCAUUCUGAGGUGGUCUUCCCUUAUCUGUGUUUAGCUACAGCCAACAAGAAGGCAACGCUGAUUAUCUCAGUGUUUAGAGGGAGUUCCCACAGUCUGAAGGGAGUGAAGAAUCAAGUUAAACAGCACAGAACACAUUGUAAAUCCUCCUGGUGAAAUCUGAAGGUUUGAACACAUGGGUACCGACCAUUGAAAAUGGACCAAAGAAGCACAUGAAUCGAUGUGAGAAAGCAUCUCAGAAGAUGACAUCACUUCAAAAACAUGACUUCUUUUCUAGGUUUUCUGUUGCAAACCACGGAAUUCAUUUUAGUGCAUUCAACAGAUGAAUACGUAUGGGCUAGUCUAGACACCGAAACAUAAAGGCUCGGUGGUGUGUAGCUAGGAAGGGUAUCCUCGAAUUUGGGAGAUUAUUCAAGCACAGUGCAUUCAUCCUACUGUGAAUUUUUGGCAUUUAUGAUGGAAGGAUUUGGGAAUGUCCCUCUUUCUGCUACUCCAAGAGUUAAAAAUAUACUUCUCAAGAGAGUGAACUGGCCUUGUGAAGCCACUUGCCAUGUUACUCUUUGCUCCAAGACCCGCUAUGUGCAUGUCUGUCUUCUGUCAUGCCUGCCAACUGGAGUCAUAUACCAGCAGACAUGAUGAGAUUGUUUUUUUGUUUGUUUGUUUGUUUUUAGAUUCUGUAUCAGUGGUUCUCAAUCUUCCUAACGCUGCAACCCUUUGAUAUAGUUCUUUACAUUGUGGUGACCCCCUCCCAACCAUAAAAUUAUUUUCAUUGUUACUUCACAACUGAAAUUUUGCUACUGUAAAUUCACAUCAUAAUGUAAACCUCUGUGUUUCCUGAUUGUCUUAGGUGACUCCUUAAGAAAAGGUUGUGUGACCCUUAAUGGAGUCACUACCCACAGGUUGAGAACCUCUGCUCUAUAUUUUGAGAUGUAAAACUGGGCAGGAGAGGGACUGGCUUCUGAGGGAGCCAGGCCACAGCAUUUUCUAUGGUGAGACAAAGGUAAUGUGGUAGUGUGCCUGAGGGGAGAACGACUGGACAUCAUCCUAUUAGAAAUCCAGACAGAAGAGGGAGAAAGAUACAGAAAAUUCAACCAGAAAAGUGAUCUGCCUGGACUCGGACUGAAAUGGGUGGUUAUUAGCAAUGUGAUCUUAGGAACAAAUCCAAAUACUUAAGGGCAAGAGGUUAUUCCAGGUAUUAUAGACGGAAAUGUAUUUGACUCUGCAAAAUCGAGAUGUUUUCAUCGGAGCAAAGGAUAGGAAAACCUAGGGUCACUCUGAGUGUGACUGAUGGACCAUCCUUGGUCUGCAGGUUGCUGCUAGGGAGUGUUCAGACAGAGAACAAACAUUCACCAACAUUCACCCACACUUAAUAUCUCCAUGACAUCUGAGGGUGUGAAUUUGUCUGUGAUGAAUCAGUAAUUUGACUGGGACUGGCAAUUUAAAAACACUGGGCCUUUGCCACAGAGAUUUGAAGAAACGCUGCUGUUCAUCGAGUACAUAUUAUGUGUGAGCGCUGGGAAAGCACUGCCUGCAAUGCAACCGACGGCUAAAAAUCUAUACUAUGUAAAGUUAUGUAAAUUUGCAUGGGAAAAUGGGAAAUGCCAGAGCAAGGAGCAAACCGUGUUUCCAAGACAUGAAAUCCAGAAGGUCCUUAAGUCAGGUGGCAUUUGUGCUCUCGAGUGGUCAGGGCCUUGUCUCCACUUUCCAAAUUUACCAACAUUGAAGAAAGCUAUAACAUUUAUUGGUAAUGUGGAAGUGGGGAAAGGCCCAUGCAUCGCUAGUGACACUCUGCAUUCUUAUAAGCUUUUUUUAGGAGGCAAUUUGGCAGCACCUAUUAAAAUAAAAAACAAGCCGAUG